rnacentral:lncRNA from 1 species
GCGGCUGGGAGGCGGCUUCGCGCCGUGGGCGGGAGGCUGCGGCGGGCGACCGGUCCUGGACACGCGAGGAAGAGCGAGCCGAUGGCGCCUGCGGUCUCGCUUCGACCCGGUGUGCCAUUUUGAAGACUGAGACUAUAGAGUUUUAAGAAUAAAGGAGAGAGCCCUUGGGAAAUUCUGUAUUGUAUAUAGCAAGAAUGUGAAUCCUUAAAUGGAAUGAAAAGCCUAUACCAUAGACAUCGAAGCCUUUACACCCCGCUUGAAGAGUUUGAAAUGGACUUUACCACAGAAAUCAAGAUGGCAGCCCAUUAUGGGGAAUUGAGGAAAAUGGAUUAAUGCAAGAAUGCUGUAAUAUUACACAACCAACACAGGAUUCUUUUAAUGUGGAUUCCAUGAAAUGAAUGAUUCUUACCCGCUUAUGGACUUAUCCACAAAUGGACAGUGGAAUUUACUUCCUAAAGACAUAUUACAUAUGUACAUUUUUGACAUCUGGAGAAGAUUCUACAAUUCUACAAAUGGUAGUUUGUAUUCCUGGAAUUUCUUGCAGUUUGAUCUGAAGUGACCUUAUGGAAUGUUAACUUUAAUAAAAAUCUCUAAAACUUAAAA